GUUUCUAUGGAGGAGUGGUUAACUCGUCUGUCUAACACACAGAAGAUCCCCAGAUCGAGACUGGGUAGAAACA